AUUGAACGCUAGCGGGAUGCCUUACACAUGCAAGUCGAACGGCGUGGCGAACGGGUGAGUAAUGUAUCGGCACGUGCCCAGUAGCGGGGGAUAACUACGCGAAAGCGUAGCUAAUACCGCAUACUAUUGGCGCGGCCGAUAUCGGAUUAGCUAGUUGGGGGGGUAACGGCUCACCAAGGCGACGAGCCGUAGCUGGUUUGAGAGGACGACCAGCCACACUGGGACUGAGACACGGCCCAGAAUCCUACGGGAGGCAGCAGUGGGGAAUGUUGGACAAGGGGGGAAACCCUGAUCCAGCCAUCCCGCGUGUGCGAUGAAGGCAUUCGGGUUGUAAAGCACUUUUGGCAGGAAAGCGGUACGGGCAGAGAAAGAACCGGCUAACUACGUGCCAGCAGCCGCGGUAAUUC
rnacentral:rRNA from 1 species